UAAAGUGUUACUGGCAUCGACAAAAGCGUGUUCCGAGGGUAUUAGUCUUGUCGGGGCUUCAAGAGUUGUACUUCUCGAUGUUGUUUGGAACCCUUCUGUUGAGAUGCAAGCCAUAAGUCGAGCUUACAGGAUUGGUCAAAAGCGGGUUGUGUACACUUACCAUCUCAUGGUUAAAGACGCAUCUGAGUGGGAAAAGUAUCGUAAGCAAACCAAGAAACAUCGCAUAUCCGAAAUGGUCUUCUCUCCUACCGAUGACAAGGAUAAGCUGGUUAAAAACCAAGUUGUCUCUGAAGAUAGAAUCCUCGACG
rnacentral:lncRNA from 1 species